GAUGAACGCUGGCGGCGUGCCUAAUACAUGCCAGUCGAGCGAACGGACGAGAAGCUUUCUUCUCUGAUGUUAGCGGCGGACGGGUGAGUAACACGUGGAUAACCUACCUAUAAGACUGGGAUAACUUCGGGAAACCGGAGCUAAUACCGGAUAAUAUUUUGAACCGCAUUGUUCAAAAGUGAAAGACGGUCUUUCUUUCACUUAUAGAUGGAUCCGCGCUGCAUUAGUUAGUUGGUAAGGUAACGGCUUACCAAGGCAACGAUGCAUAGCCGACCUGAGAGGGCGAUCGGCCACACGGGAACUGAGACACGGUACAGACUCCUACGGGAGGCAGCAGUAGGGAAUCUUACGCAAUGGGCGAAAGCCUGACGGAGCAACGCCGCGGGAGUGAUGAAGGUCUUCGGAUCGUAAAACUCUGUUAUUAGGGAAGAACAUAUGUGUAAGUAACUGUGCACAUCUUGACGGUACCUAAUCAGAAAGCCACGGCUAACUACGUG
rnacentral:rRNA from 1 species